rnacentral:tRNA from 1 species
GGUUCUAUGGUGUAAUGGUUAGUACUCAGGACUCUGAAUCCUGUGAUACGAGUUCAAAUCUCAGUAGCACCU